rnacentral:rRNA from 1 species
UUACUAAGCCAUAACUGACGCUGAGGCACGAAAGCGUGGGGAGCGAACAGGAUUAGAUACCCUGGUAGUCCACGCUGUAAACGAUGUUCACUCGCUGUUUGCGAUACACAGUAAGCGGCUGAGCGAAAGCAUUAAGUGAACCACCUGGGGAGUACGAUCGCAAGGUUGAAACUCAAAGGAAUUGACGGGGGCCCGCACAAGCGGAGGAACAUGUGGUUUAAUUCGAUGAUACGCGAGGAACCUUACCUGGGCUUAAAUGUAGACUGCAUAGGGUGGAAACAUUCUUUCCCUUCGGGGCUGUUUACAAGGUGCUGCAUGGUUGUCGUCAGCUCGUGCCGUGAGGUGUCGGGUUAAGUCCCAUAACGAGCGCAACCCUUACCGUUAGUUGCCAACAGGUCAAGCUGGGGACUCUAGCGGGACUGCCACCGUAAGGUGAGAGGAAGGUGGGGAUGACGUCAAAUCAGCACGGCCCUUAUGUCCAGGGCUACACACGUGUUACAAUGGCCGGUACAGAGGGCAGCUACCACGCAAGUGGGUGCCAAUCCCGAAAGCCGGUCCCAGUUCGGAUUGGAGUCUGCAACCCGACUUCAUGAAGUUGGAUUCGCUAGUAAUCGCGCAUCAGCCAUGGCGCGGUGAAUACGUUCCCGGGCCUUGUACACACCGCCCGUCAAACCAUGGGAGCUGGGGGUGCCUGAAGUCUGUGACCGUUAAGGAGCGG